AAUAAGUGCAGUUUGUACUAUUCAUGUUCAAUGUUUGAUCGUCCGUUUUAUUUGAAAAAAUUAUGAUUAGUAUUUUUGUUGUUAUUAUAUGAUAAAAUAUAAAUAGUACUUUAUGUGUGACUAAUUUUUUUUAGUUUUUUCAUAAAUUUUUCAAAUAAUACGGACGGUUGGAUACAGAAAUACAGGGCUGCAUUUAUU
rfam:Oryza punctata chromosome 12, whole genome shotgun sequence.